rfam:Gorilla gorilla gorilla genomic chromosome, chr10, whole genome shotgun sequence
GUUGGGCGUGGUGGUGCAUGCCUGUAGUCCCAGCUACUCAGGAGGCUGAGGCAGGAGACUCACUUGAACCCAGGAGGCGGAGGUUGCAGUGAGCCGAGAUUACACCACUGCACUCCAGCCUGGGUGACAGAGUGAGACUCUGUCUCAA